UUAUUCCAUAAAAAGAAUUGGAUCAUUUUCCUUUAUUUUCAGUGUUCUGGAACUUAUUGUGGAAUGUUGGUACUAUCUGGUCAUUAAAUAUUUUGCAGAACUCCCCUGUGAAACCAUCAGGGCCUGGUGUUUAUUUUGUUUGUAGCAAUUUCUUAUUUGCUUUUUUUCUUCUAUGGAAAUUGGUCUGUUUACCUCUUCUAUCACUAAUGGAAUCAUUUUCAUAGACUCACUUUUUUGGCACUGCAGUCCUCUCCAAGUUAACUUUGUAUAUUUAUUGGAAAAUGGAGAAGAUACUGGAAAUCAAGAUGUAGGCACUGGGUGUACUCAUUGCUACUGAGAGUCAUUGCUUCUAGACCCUCUCAGCUGACAGAACAGGGAAAUAUGUGUGUGUACUAACCUCUUCCCAGGCAGCUCAUGUGGAGCAGUGCCAGCCACCAGAGCCAUAGGAUGCUGACCUCUGUGUCCAGUGCCAAGCAGGGGACUUCAGAUGGAGGCAGAGCUACAACACUACACAGAGAUGGACAACAUGGAAGCUGGCAGAGCUGUUUGGAUGUAGAGCACAUGGGCUGUGGGCUGCUAGAGAAAGAAGGGCCCAGGGUUCCUAAACAAAAAGGAAUGAAAAUUAGGACUUCCGUAUCCAGCCAAAGCCCCAGCAUUUGUCUUAUAAUUUCUAUCUGCUUUUCAAGGGUGCUUCUUAUUUCUGUCAAACUGUGCUAAUUGUGGGGGAAGAGUCACCACUUACCUAUUGACCAUUAGAGAUGGCCUCCAAGAUGGAAUCAAAGUUUUUACCUUCCCUUAUCUUUGGAAAAUCUCUGUAAUCUGAUUUAGAGAAAGCAGCUAUACCUUUCAUGUUAUCAAAAUUGAAUUAUGAUCAUCAAUAAAGUUAUUUCAA